CGAGAAUCACCCAUUUAAGCAAAAAUCACGUGUUUUCUUUUCAGAAAACCCCCAUUUAACCCAAAAAUCACACGUUUUCUCUUCGCAAAUCCCCCAUUUAAGCAAAAAUCGCGUUUUCUCUUCGGAAAUCCCCCAUUUAAGCAAAAAUCACGCGAUUUCUCUUCAGGAAUCCCCCAUUUAACCCAAAAGUCAUACGUUUUCUCUAUGAGAAUCCCCCACUUAACUCGAAAAUCAUGCAUUUUCUCUUUGAGGAUUCCCCAUUUAAUCCGAAAAUCACGCGUUUUCUCUUCGAGAAUCCCCCAUUUUACCCGAAAAUCACGCGUUUUCUCUUCGCAAAUCCCCCAUUUAACCCGAAAAUCACGCUUUCUCUUCGGGAAUCCCCCAUUUAACUUGAAAAUCAUGCGUUUUCUCUUCGG
ensembl:lncRNA